rnacentral:rRNA from 1 species
UACGGAGGGAGCUAGCGUUGUUCGGAAAUACUGGGCGUAAAGCGCACGUAGGCGGCGCAGCAAGUCAGGGGUGAAAUCCCGGGGCUCAACCCCGGAACUGCCCUUGAAACUGCAGUGCUAGAAUCUUGGAGAGGCGAGUGGAAUUCCGAGUGUAGAGGUGAAAUUCGUAGAUAUUCGGAAGAACACCAGUGGCGAAGGCGACUCGCUGGACAAGUAUUGACGCUAAGGCGCGAAAGCGUGGGGAGCGAACAGG